UAAGCGACUAAGCGUACACGGUGGAUGCCCUGGCAGUCAGAGGCGAUGAAGGACGUGCUAAUCUGCGAUAAGCGUCGGUAAGGUGAUAUGAACCGUUAUAACCGGCGAUUUCCGAAUGGGGAAACCCAGUGUGUUUCGACACACUAUCAUUAACUGAAUCCAUAGGUUAAUGAGGCGAACCGGGGGAACUGAAACAUCUAAGUACCCCGAGGAAAAGAAAUCAACCGAGAUUCCCCCAGUAGCGGCGAGCGAACGGGGAGCAGCCCAGAGCCUGAAUCAGUAUGUGUGUUAGUGGAAGCGUCUGGAAAGGCGCGCGAUACAGGGUGACAGCCCCGUACACAAAAAUGCACAUGCUGUGAGCUCGAUGAGUAGGGCGGGACACGUGGUAUCCUGUCUGAAUAUGGGGGGACCAUCCUCCAAGGCUAAAUACUCCUGACUGACCGAUAGUGAACCAGUACCGUGAGGGAAAGGCGAAAAGAACCCCGGCGAGGGGAGUGAAAAAGAACCUGAAACCGUGUACGUACAAGCAGUGGGAGCACGCUUAGGCGUGUGACUGCGUACCUUUUGUAUAAUGGGUCAGCGACUUAUAUUCUGUAGCAAGGUUAACCGAAUAGGGGAGCCGAAGGGAAACCGAGUCUUAACUGGGCGUUAAGUUGCAGGGUAUAGACCCGAAACCCGGUGAUCUAGCCAUGGGCAGGUUGAAGGUUGGGUAACACUAACUGGAGGACCGAACCGACUAAUGUUGAAAAAUUAGCGGAUGACUUGUGGCUGGGGGUGAAAGGCCAAUCAAACCGGGAGAUAGCUGGUUCUCCCCGAAAGCUAUUUAGGUAGCGCCUCGUGAAUUCAUCUCCGGGGGUAGAGCACUGUUUCGGCAAGGGGGUCAUCCCGACUUACCAACCCGAUGCAAACUGCGAAUACCGGAGAAUGUUAUCACGGGAGACACACGGCGGGUGCUAACGUCCGUCGUGAAGAGGGAAACAACCCAGACCGCCAGCUAAGGUCCCAAAGUCAUGGUUAAGUGGGAAACGAUGUGGGAAGGCCCAGACAGCCAGGAUGUUGGCUUAGAAGCAGCCAUCAUUUAAAGAAAGCGUAAUAGCUCACUGGUCGAGUCGGCCUGCGCGGAAGAUGUAACGGGGCUAAACCAUGCACCGAAGCUGCGGCAGCGACACUAUGUGUUGUUGGGUAGGGGAGCGUUCUGUAAGCCUGUGAAGGUGUGCUGUGAGGCAUGCUGGAGGUAUCAGAAGUGCGAAUGCUGACAUAAGUAACGAUAAAGCGGGUGAAAAGCCCGCUCGCCGGAAGACCAAGGGUUCCUGUCCAACGUUAAUCGGGGCAGGGUGAGUCGACCCCUAAGGCGAGGCCGAAAGGCGUAGUCGAUGGGAAACAGGUUAAUAUUCCUGUACUUGGUGUUACUGCGAAGGGGGGACGGAGAAGGCUAUGUUGGCCGGGCGACGGUUGUCCCGGUUUAAGCGUGUAGGCUGGUUUUCCAGGCAAAUCCGGAAAAUCAAGGCUGAGGCGUGAUGACGAGGCACUACGGUGCUGAAGCAACAAAUGCCCUGCUUCCAGGAAAAGCCUCUAAGCAUCAGGUAACAUCAAAUCGUACCCCAAACCGACACAGGUGGUCAGGUAGAGAAUACCAAGGCGCUUGAGAGAACUCGGGUGAAGGAACUAGGCAAAAUGGUGCCGUAACUUCGGGAGAAGGCACGCUGAUAUGUAGGUGAAGUCCCUCGCGGAUGGAGCUGAAAUCAGUCGAAGAUACCAGCUGGCUGCAACUGUUUAUUAAAAACACAGCACUGUGCAAACACGAAAGUGGACGUAUACGGUGUGACGCCUGCCCGGUGCCGGAAGGUUAAUUGAUGGGGUUAGCCGCAAGGCGAAGCUCUUGAUCGAAGCCCCGGUAAACGGCGGCCGUAACUAUAACGGUCCUAAGGUAGCGAAAUUCCUUGUCGGGUAAGUUCCGACCUGCACGAAUGGCGUAAUGAUGGCCAGGCUGUCUCCACCCGAGACUCAGUGAAAUUGAACUCGCUGUGAAGAUGCAGUGUACCCGCGGCAAGACGGAAAGACCCCGUGAACCUUUACUAUAGCUUGACACUGAACAUUGAGCCUUGAUGUGUAGGAUAGGUGGGAGGCUUAGAAGUGUGGACGCCAGUCUGCAUGGAGCCGACCUUGAAAUACCACCCUUUAAUGUUUGAUGUUCUAACGUUGACCCGUAAUCCGGGUUGCGGACAGUGUCUGGUGGGUAGUUUGACUGGGGCGGUCUCCUCCUAAAGAGUAACGGAGGAGCACGAAGGUUGGCUAAUCCUGGUCGGACAUCAGGAGGUUAGUGCAAUGGCAUAAGCCAGCUUGACUGCGAGCGUGACGGCGCGAGCAGGUGCGAAAGCAGGUCAUAGUGAUCCGGUGGUUCUGAAUGGAAGGGCCAUCGCUCAACGGAUAAAAGGUACUCCGGGGAUAACAGGCUGAUACCGCCCAAGAGUUCAUAUCGACGGCGGUGUUUGGCACCUCGAUGUCGGCUCAUCACAUCCUGGGGCUGAAGUAGGUCCCAAGGGUAUGGCUGUUCGCCAUUUAAAGUGGUACGCGAGCUGGGUUUAGAACGUCGUGAGACAGUUCGGUCCCUAUCUGCCGUGGGCGCUGGAGAACUGAGGGGGGCUGCUCCUAGUACGAGAGGACCGGAGUGGACGCAUCACUGGUGUUCGGGUUGUCAUGCCAAUGGCACUGCCCGGUAGCUAAAUGCGGAAGAGAUAAGUGCUGAAAGCAUCUAAGCACGAAACUUGCCCCGAGAUGAGUUCUCCCUGACCCUUUAAGGGUCCUGAAGGAACGUUGAAGACGACGACGUUGAUAGGCCGGGUGUGUAAGCGCAGCGAUGCGUUGAGCUAACCGGUACUAAUGAACCGUGAGGCUUAACCU
rnacentral:rRNA from 1 species